rnacentral:misc_RNA from 1 species
CUUCUUCUUCUUCUUCUUCUGUUUCAAGGCUGUUGUCUGCUGUCUUCAAUGUCGUCUUCUUCUGUUCUUCUUCUUUUUGUUGUGACAGUUGUCUACAUGUGGGAAGAAAAAAAAAAAAGCGUGCGCUUACGGUUGGGCUCUCUAGGCACGCCUGAUGCCUUGGUGCGCCUGGGUGCACCUCCUGUAGGUCACUCGCCUUCAGGUGUCUCAGGCGAUGGGUCCCUUGCCUAGUGCGCCUUGCGCCUCAGGCGCACCUUUAAUAACAGUGCAUAUAUAUAUAUAUAUAUAACUGGGUUGAACUAAAACCGAUUGGAACCAAUCCAAUCCUUUUUCCACCCCAUCUCCAACCCAGAACCAGCCCGUGGCUAGGCCUACUCCAAAUGCAAUCUAACAUGGUUCCAAUCUUCUAGUGAUAUUUUACUGUUCAUCAACACACCACACAAUCAUCACUCUUGGCCCUAACAACUUUUCUGGAAGACCAUCUAUGGGCAGAAACAUAUGCCAUGAGUAUGCAAGAUGCUCUCAUGGCAAAUUUAAUGCUGCAAGUCUGUUAUUGUUGUUGAGUUUUUAUUUAUUUAUUCACCAUUUCUAUCCAUAAGAUUCACACAAACCUAAUGACAACGACAAAGCAUCAGAAUUUCUAAAGAAAAAGAAAAUGAAACCUUUGACAGGCAUAUCAGGUCUUGGAGCUAC